rnacentral:lncRNA from 1 species
ACAUUUCAAAAGCAGAUUUCAAAAUUACAAUAGCUGUUAUAUGAUUUUUAAAGUUUCACAAUAUUGGGGCACCUGGGUGGCUCAGUCGGUGAGUAUCCUACUUCAGCAUAGGUCAUGAUCUACCAUUUGGUGAGUUUGAGACCCACGUUGGGCUCACUGCUGUCAGCGAGGAGCCAGCUUCAGAUCCUCUGGCCCCCUCUCUCUGCCCCUCCCCCAUUUGUGCUCUCUCAAAAAUAAACAUUUUUUAAAAAGUAUCACAAUUUUUAUGUCACAUCUCUCUUUUUUAAAAUAAAUUUUAAACUCUCUUUUUUUUUCUUUUUGUUAUUUUUACUUUUUAUUUUAGAGAGAGAGAACAUGUGAACAGCGAAGAGGACCUUAGGGAGAGAGAGAGAAUCCUAAGCAAGCUGCAGGCUCAGCGCAGAGCCUGAUGCGGGGCUCCAUCUCACUACCAUGAGAUCAUGACCUGAGCUGAAAUCAGGAGUUGGUCAUUCAACCACCUGAGCCACCCAGGCGCCCCACAUCUCACUUUCAAAUCAAGGUAAAGGAUUUCUGCUUCCAAUAUUACUAAACUCCUAUCAGAUCAACCUUCCUGCAAAUAACUAUGAACACUGGAGGGGAAAAUCUUUGAAGGCACUGGAAAGUGAACAUUCACAGAUUUUGGAGGAGAGUCAACACAUGGACGAAGGGAAUUUCACAGGGCGAGUUUUCCAUUUUUAUAACUUUAAACCUGAAGACAGCCAACAAUUGGCACCUGGCCAAAAACUUAAAUUCUCUGUGGCCUGAAGAGACAAAAGACAGAGUUUGGGAAAAGCAAAACUGCUAUGAAGUGAGUGAGGAUCCAAAAAAGGAGAAAGCCAGAGAGUGAACGCAAAGUUGGGGUAAAUACUCUGCCAAAAUUACUUGCUGAAUCCUAAACCAUAAAUGAACAAUUGUUCUGAAGAACAAAGAAGAAAAAGUGGAAAAAAAAAUUAAUAGAGUGUUAUGUACCUGUAUGAGAAGAUCAAAGUCUAGCAUGUAUGUAAUACAAAUCCCAGAAAAAGAAGACGGAGAGGGAGACAGUAAAUGGCUCAAAACUCCCCAAAUUUAGUGAAAGACAUAAAUUUAUAGAUUGAAGAGAUUUAAUGAUAUAAAUAUGAAGAAAAUAAUGACUAGCCACAUCACAGUCAAAUGGCUUAAACCAGAGAUAAAGUGGAAAUACUGAAAGCUUCCAGAGAUAAACAAUACAUUAUAUACAAGGAAACAAUGAUUAGAACUUUUACUGACUUCUCAUCAGAAACUAUGGAGAUGAGAAUAUAGUAAAACAUUUUUUAUGUGCAGAAACAAAAAUACUGUCAAUCAAGAAUUAGACCCAGCAAAAAUAGCCCUUGAUAAUUAAAGUAAAAUAAAGAUAUUUUCAGAUAAAAUAGGACUAAGGGA